rnacentral:pre_miRNA from 1 species
CCCACAUUCAUUUAUGUAGGACCCCAAAUAAUCACCAUUAAAUUUGUCACAGAUCUCUAGAAAAGUUAUCACAUGGGUGUAAGACUUGACUUUUCUAGAGAUUUGUGUCAAAUUUAAUGGUAAUUCUUUGGAGUUCUACACACAUGGGUGUGGG